rnacentral:rRNA from 1 species
AUACUUGUCUGAUCUUGGGCGUAAAGGGAGCGCAGGCGGGCAUAUAAGUCUUUCUUAAAAGUUCGGGGCUCAACCCCGUGAUGGGAAAGAAACUAUAUGUCUUGAGUACAGGAGAGGAAAGCGGAAUUCCCAGUGUAGCGGUGAAAUGCUAGAUAUUGGGAGGAACACCAGUGGCGAAGGCGGCUUUCUGGACUGCAACUGACGCUGAGGCUCGAAAGCCAGGGGAGCGAACGGGAUUAGAUACCCCGGUAGUCCUGGCCGUAAACGAUGGAUACUAGGUGUGGGAGGUAUCGACCCCUACCGUGCCGGAGUUAACGCAAUAAGUAUCCCGCCUGGGGAGUACGGUCGCAAGACUGAAACUCAAGG